rnacentral:rRNA from 1 species
UACAGAGGUCCCGAGCGUUGUUCGGAUUCACUGGGCGUAAAGGGUGCGUAGGUGGUUAGGUAAGUCCGAUGUGAAAUCUCCAGGCUCAACCUGAAAAUGGCAUUGGAUACUAUUUAGCUUGAGGAGUGGAGGGGGGACUGGAAUUCUCGGUGUAGCAGUGAAAUGCGUAGAUAUCGAGAGGAACACCAGUGGCGAAGGCGAGUCCCUGGACACUUCCUGACACUGAGGCACGAAAGCUAGGGGAGCAAACAGG